UACGUAGGGUGCGAGCGUUAAUCGGAAUUACUGGGCGUAAAGUGUGCGCAGGCGGCUUCUCAAGUCAGGGGUGAAAGCCCAGAGCUCAACUCUGGAAUUGCCUUUGAGACUGAGUGGCUUGAGUACGGGAGAGGUGAGUGGAAUUCCCAGUGUAGAGGUGAAAUUCGUAGAUAUUGGGAAGAACACCGGUGGCGAAGGCGGCUCACUGGCCCGUAACUGACGCUCAUGCACGACAGCGUGGGGAUCAAACAGG
rnacentral:rRNA from 1 species